AGAAUAGCUUUUCGAAUGUUAGACAAUUUACCAUAUUUUCAGCGGGAAAUUAAUAUAAGUACAAGAAGAAAAGUACCCCUCUAAAUUAUAGCUCCUCAAACUUUAAUUUAGUCAUGAAUUAUAUAUAAAUCAUUUGUUUUUAUUUUUUUAUAGCACAAUUACAAAAUAUUAUUAGAGAUAUGGAGAUCCAGUGGGGACGGUUAGAUGCCGGAAUUGAUAUCAAUCGUCAACGUCGAUCAGUUCAGCGUCAUCAUGACAUCCGCAUUCAGCAUCUUCAAGCAUCUUUAAGAUCUGGAAGAAUUCCUACACGCUGCAGUGAAUCGGGAUCUUCAUGAUUCAAUAUUUUUAAUUUUAAAUGAUAAUCAACGUGAACAGCUACCAAAUAUUAGCAAUAUUGAACAUUUAAACCUCAUUUUGCAGGAUCAUUAAG